rnacentral:rRNA from 1 species
AUGAACGCUGGCGGCGUGCCUAAUACAUGCCAGUCGAGCGCACGGACGAGAAGCUUGCUUUUCUGAUGUUAGCGGCGGACGGGUGAGUAACACGUGGAUAACCUACCUAUAAGACUGGGAUAACUUCGGGAAACCGGAGCUAAUACCGGAUAAUAUUUUGAACCGCAUGGUUCAAAAGUGAAAGACGGUCUUGCUGUCACUUAUAGAUGGAUCCGCGCUGCAUUAGCUAGUUGGUAAGGUAACGGCUUACCAAGGCAACGAUGCAUAGCCGACCUGAGAGGGUGAUCGGCCACACUGGAACUGAGACACGGUCCAGACUCCUACGGGAGGCAGCAGUAGGGAAUCUUCCGCAAUGGGCGAAAGCCUGACGGAGCAACGCCGCGUGAGUGAUGAAGGUCUUCGGAUCGUAAAACUCUGUUAUUAGGGAAGAACAUAUGUGUAAGUAACUGUGCACAUCUUGACGGUACCUAAUCAGAAAGCCACGGCUAACUACGUG